rnacentral:rRNA from 1 species
UCAAGAUAAGAUUUCCCACCGCAAGGGUAAGACCCCAGAAAGACUAUCUGGUUGAUAGGUCGAAGGUGUAAGUUCAGCAAUGUAUUUAGCUUAUCGAUACUAAUAGGUCGAGGACUUGACCAA